AAAUAGAUACCCAGGUAGUCCACGCCGUAAACGAUGAGUGCUAGGUGUUAGGGGGGUCCAACCCCUUAGUGCUGAAGUUAACACAUUAAGCACUCCGCCUGGGGAGUACGGCCGCAAGGUUGAAACUCAAAGGAAUUGACGGGGGCCCGCACAAGCAGUGGAGCAUGUGGUUUAAUUCGAAGCAACGCGAAGAACCUUACCAGGUCUUGACAUCCUCUGACAACCCUAGAGAUAGGGCGUUCCCCUUCGGGGGACAGAGUGACAGGUGGUGCAUGGUUGUCGUCAGCUCGUGUCGUGAGAUGUUGGGUUAAGUCCCGCAACGAGCGCAACCCUUGAUGUUAGUUGCCAGCAUUCAGUUGGGCACUCUAACGUGACUGCCGGUGACAAACCGGAGGAAGGUGGGGAUGACGUCAAAUCAUCAUGCCCCUUAUGACCUGGGCUACACACGUGCUACAAUGGGCGGUACAAAGGGCAGCGAAACCGCGAGGUGAAGCGAAUCCCAUAAAGCCGCUCUCAGUUCGGAUUGCAGGCUGC
rnacentral:rRNA from 1 species